GGUGGCAAGCGUUGUCCGGAAUUAUUGGGCGUAAAGCGCGCGCAGGCGGAUCAGUCAGUCUGUCUUAAAAGUUCGGGGCUUAACCCCGUGAUGGGAUGGAAACUGCUGAUCUAKAGUAUCGGAGAGGAAAGUGGAAUUCCUAGUGUAGCGGUGAAAUGCGUAGAUAUUAGGAAGAACACCAGUGGCGAAGGCGACUUUCUGGACGAAAACUGACGCUGAGGCGCGAAAGCCAGGGGAGCGAACGGGAUUAGAUACCCCGGUAGUCCUGGCCGUAAACGAUGGGUACUAGGUGUAGGAGGUAUCGACCCCUUCUGUGCCGGAGUUAACGCAAUAAGUACCCCGCCUGGGGAGUACGACCGCAAGGUUG
rnacentral:rRNA from 1 species